rnacentral:rRNA from 1 species
GUGGGGAAUCUUGCGCAAUGGGGGAAACCCUGACGCAGCGACGCCGCGUGCGGGAUGAAGGCCUUCGGGUUGUAAACCGCUUUCAGCAGGGACGAUUGUGACGGUACCUGCAGAAGAAGCCCCGGCCAACUACGUGCCAGCAGCCGCGGUAAUACGUAGGGGGCGAGCGUUGUCCGGAUUUAUUGGGCGUAAAGAGCUCGUAGGCGGUUUGGUAAGUCGGGUGUGAAAUCUCCGCGCUCAACGCGGAGGGGCCACUCGAUACUGCCAUGACUCGAGUCCGGUAGGGGAGUGUGGAAUUCCCGGUGUAGCGGUGAAAUGCGCAGAUAUCGGGAGGAACACCAGUAGCGAAGGCGGCACUCUGGGCCGGUACUGACGCUGAGGAGCGAAAGCGUGGGGAGCGAACAGGAUUAGAAACCCCUGUAGUCC